rnacentral:tRNA from 1 species
GAUCCCGUGGCCUAACGGAUAAGGCGCCAGACUUCGGUUUUGAAACAGGGAGA